rnacentral:tRNA from 9 species
GGUCCCGUAGUGUAGUGGUUAUCACGGUGGAUUUUGAUUCCACUGACCCCGGUUCGAAUCCGGGCGGGACCU